CCAGGUGUGUACUUUGUGGGAAAGGUGCCAGCACCUUAGAGGUGCUGCAGGGUAGGAGAUCACACGGCCCCUGAGCUGCCUCGUGGAUUGGUCACCCAGCCAGUUUCUGAGAGGCAAUAACAAUGGUAUAGAGGCUCAGGGUGGUCAUGACAAAGCCCUCAACUAUGUGACCUUAGCCAGGUAACUUACCUUCUUUGGUUUGCAGUUUUGUUUUGUUAUGUUUUUAAUUUGCAAAGUAGAGGGCGUGGCUUAAACCAAUGGCCUGCAAUUAUUUUUGUUUUUCUGGUGGAAUCCUUCUUUUAAAUGAAAUCUUAGGACGAUGUCUAAUAUAAAAGUCAGACGAAAACAGACUGCUCUAAACCAAAGCAAGGGUGAGGAUCUGAAGUGAUGUCCUCUCGAUUCUUCCCCUCACCCCUGCAAUGGUUGCUGGGUAACCUAGUUUAAGAAUGCUUUAAGGUUCUCUGAGGUUCCUUCCAGGUAUAAAGCCCAGAAAUUUUCUGACUUAGGGGAGAAUUGAGGUAGGUCAGCAUGGGAAAAGUACAGGGCCUUAAAAGUUGAGUGGGUUGUUUUGGGCAAGCUGUAUAGUCUCCAUCUGUAAAAUGAUUCUAAAAUUAUUUGUCUCUUAGAAAGUCUUUGUGAAUGGUUAACUUUCCUUGAUCAGGCCCUUUUAAACACGUCCUUAGGAAAUACCCAAAUUCUUGAAUUUUCCUAGAGCAGUCUGGUCGGGGACUUGGAAAUACUUUAUGUGAAACUGCAAACUGCAGUGGAAAAGAUAAACCUCUUGAUAGGCUAGUAGUAAAUAGUUUUUAAAAGUAGAUUUUAAUAUGUUUGAGGUCACAGGUCUCUCGAGAAUCUGAAAACAUUUAUUGUAUGGUUUCAGGGCACUCAUAGCACUUCUGAAGCUUAAUUCUGAGCCUGUUAGGGAUUCAUGGAUCCCAAGUCUACAGGGGAAAUUAUUAUUACUAUUUUUUUGCCCACUAAUAGAUAAAGAAGAUAACUUAAAUUUUUUUUUAUGGAUUUUCAAGCAAAUUUGCUAGUGUUCUGAAGUCAUCAGGUGAGAGGGUCUGGGGUCUGUGUUUUUGUUUUGGCCUAGAUGGCUCCAAAAACACUGGUCAGUGACAGGUGAAAGUCAAACAUCAGCAUUUCCUGGAAGGAAGGACUCCAGGGACACAGUUCAGUCCUCUUUCUAGCUCUUAAUUCACUCAACAAUAACAUUCAAGUGAUUCUACAUCCCAAACACUCAACAUCUGGGAAAACAAGAAAAGCUUGUUUCCUGGGGGGGAUACCAAGGAGGCAGAUCCUGCUGUCACUCACAUGACAUCUAUUGUUCUGGAGACUCAGCAGGUGGGAGGCCUGGCUGGGUCUCCCCUUCGUGGACUCCAGCUGGUCUGGGUGGUAGAACCAGGGUUGCAGAUGAAAAGUGGAAGAGAGGGGACACCAAGCCCCAGCCCUUACUCAAAGCCCCUAGCCUUGCUAGCUGGUCCCUUCUGUUGAGCACUCUUGGUUUUCUCCUCAGCAGCUGACUUUAGUCACUCCAACUGGGGUGAGGGAAGGCAAACCUACUUCUCUGAGGCUUGCUGACCCAGCUACUUGAACUGAACUGUUGUUGAACUAAAACUGGAAUGAAUCACACUAAUUUGCUGAAUCAUGAACCCAGUCCAAAAUGUUUUUUCCUUAACUGUGAAAAAGCCAAGUUUAAGUCCUUAAAAGCUCCCUCACGAAGCAAGUUCAAAUUGGAAUCCAAACCCUUUGUUUUCUGUAAUGAUCAACCUGGCACAAAACUGGAAAAUCAAAAUUUCCUUUGAAAUCUACUGAUAUUUCACUGAAUCUGGAGCCCAUCUUACAGCACAACUUCCGGCGGGGGGCAAGAUGAUUCUCUGGAUGUGUUAAUAUGCCAGCACUUAACCAGUGAGGGUCUUGAGUGACUCUGAGACCUGAUCUGAUAACCUGGGCCUUAAUCCUGGCUCCACCGUCCUCCCUCUGAGACUUUGGGCAAGUUACUGACUUUUUCUAAGCUUCUGUGCUUGGUACAUAGAAUGUGCUUGAUAAACAUUGGUGUUAGGAUUGUUUUUAGUUGCUGCAGCCCCCGCGGGUUUUGGAUUAAGAUAGUAUCUUCUGUUCAUGUGAUCCGGGUUUACAUGCAUUGUUUUUAUUUUUUUCAAAGUUACUGCCUCAAGUGAUCUCUAGGGUAGGCCAAAGAAUCCCUUGAACAUACGCUUUCCAGUAGUGCUUAGCUUUAAAGAAAACCCUCUUCCUGUUUACGUACGUGAGAUGAAAGACACUGUGUCACAAAGGUAAGGUGUAGCUCUAAUCUGAAGGAUCCUGAGAGUCAGGUCUCAUUUAUAGACUCUCAGGCUCUCUGGGUUGGUCAGAACUCUGAAGGUUAUCUGGACUUUUGCGGACCAAUGCUGGCAACCUGUUUGUGGUAUUGUUGACAAAGCCUGAACACCUCCAGUGAUGGGAAAGGAAACUUUUGAGAAUAAGCGUUCUCUCUCUACUUGUAUAUCAUUUAUACCCAUUCACUUCCAAAAGGAGUGGGAGACAUCACACAAUAAUCCAUAUACAAUUUGGCAUAUCCAUACAGCGAAAUACUAUUUAGCAAUUUAAAAGAAUGAUAAACUGAUACAGGCCAUGAGAUGGAUGAAUCUCAAAAACAUGCUAAGCGAAAGAAGCCGCAGACACAAAAGACCACAUAUUCUGUAAUUCUGUUUAUAGGAAAUGUCUAGAAAAGGUAGAUCUAUAGAGACAGAAAAUAGGUUUGUGAUUGUUUGGUUCUGAGGGUGAAAAUGGGAAAUUACUAUAAAUAGGCAUGAGGGGCCUUAUUGGUAUGAUGAAAAUACUCUCAAAUUGGAUUAUGGUGAUCACUUUACUUCUUGGUAAAUAAACUAAAAAUAUUGAGCUGUAUACCCCCAAAUGGGUGGAUUUGAUGGUAUUUAAAUUAUACCUCUGCAUACAAGAGGAAUUUGGUAUGAGAGAACUUUCUAGACACAUAUAAAACAGGUAAGUACCAUGUAAGGAAUUGGGGGAGAUGACUCCCAGGCAGCUGGACCAUAGGUGCUUAUUUACAGACAAUGGCAGAGCUUAGCUCUGAGCUUACUCGUGACUAACUUCAUUUAAAAGCUUUUUUCCUAUUUUAAAAUGAAAGGGGUCUUACGUGUUUUACCUACUGGAUGAGCCCCACUGUAGGACUGAGUGAAACAGCGCUGAUCCUAUCUGUGCGUGAAAGCCCUGUACAUGUUUGAAAGCAAGUCUGUGUCCUGUCCUGUCUCUAAGCUAAGUCACCCCAGCUCUGCCACCAGAAUGUUGCGCAUUGUGCUCGGG